rnacentral:ncRNA from 1 species
CGGCCUGAGGUCGGACGAGGCUACCCGCUGAAUUUAAGCAUAUUACUAAGCGGAGGAAAAGAAACUAACGAGGAUUCCCUCAGUAACGGCGAGUGAAGCGGGACGAGCCCAGCGCCGAAUCCGGCCGCUUAUGGAGCGGACGGAAUUGUGGCGUAUGGAAUUCGCUUCGAGCGCGGACCGGCUGCCCACGUCCUUCUGAUCGAGGCUUCAUCCCAUAGCGGGUGUCAGGCCCUUGGCGGCGGCUGGCCCAGGGCUCUCGGUGUCUUCCCGGAGUCGGGUUUGUUUGGGAAUGCAGCCCAAGAGCGGGUGGUAAACUCCAUCUAAGGCUAAAUACG